GAUGAACGCUGGCGGCGUGCUUAACACAUGCAAGUCGAACGGAACUACUCCAAUGAGAGUCUUCGGAAAGGAUUUGGUUUCGUUUAGUGGCGGACGGGUGAGUAACGCGUGGGUAACCUGCCCUAUACAGGGGGAUAACAGUUGGAAACGACUGUUAAUACUGCAUAAGCGCACAGGAGCGCAUGCUCCGGUGCGAAAAACUCCGGUGGUAUAGGAUGGACCCGCGUCUGAUUAGCUGGUUGGCGGGGUAACGGCCCACCAAGGCGACGAUCAGUAGCCGGCCUGAGAGGGUGAACGGCCACAUUGGGACUGAGACACGGCCCAAACUCCUACGGGAGGCAGCAGUGGGGAAUAUUGCACAAUGGGGGAAACCCUGAUGCAGCGACGCCGCGUGAGCGAAGAAGUAUCUCGGUAUGUAAAGCUCUAUCAGCAGGGAAGAAAAUGACGGUACCUGAAGAAGAAGCCCCGGCUAACUACGUG
rnacentral:rRNA from 1 species